ensembl:snRNA U6 U6 spliceosomal RNA
GUGUUUACUUUGGCAGCACAUAUAGUGAAAGUAGAAUUAUACUGAGAUGAUUACCAUGGCCCCUGUGGAAGAAUAACAUGCAAUUAUGUGAAGCAAUCCAUAUUUUU